ensembl:lncRNA
GUGUCCCCACCUCCUGCCUGUGUACCAGAGUCCUAGCUAGCUAGCUGGUACAGUGUGUGUGUCCCCACCUCCUGCCUGUGUACCAGAGUCCUAGCUAGCUAGCUAGUACAGUGUUGUCGCCCCCCACCUCCUGCCUGUGUACCGGAGUCCUAGCUAGCUAGCUGGUACAGUGUCGCCCCCCACCUCCCGCCUGUGUACCGGGGUCCUAGCUAGCUGGGUACAGUGUCGUCCACCUCCCGCCUGUGUACCGGGGUCCUAGCUAGCUGGUACAGUGUCGUCCACCUCCCGCCUGUGUACCGGGGUCCUAGCUAGCUGGUACAGUGUCGCCCCCACCUCCCGCCUGUGUACCGGGGUCCUAGCUUAAAUAUGGACCAAUUGAAGUAUAAAGAGGGGUGAAGGUAUGAAGUACUUAGACACCAGUAGAGACAGUAUGACAUGAAGUACUUAAACACCAGUAGAGACAGUAUGAGACAUGAAGUACUUCCGGACACCAGUAUGAGACAUGAAGUACUUAAACACCAGUAGAGACAGUAUGACAGGAAGUACUUCCAGACACCAGUAUGAGAUAUUAAGUACUUCCAGACACCAGUAUGAGAUAUUAAGUACUUCCAGACACCAGUAUAAGACAUUAAGUACUUAGACACCAGUAGAGACAGUAUGACAUGAAGUGCUUCCAGACACCAGUAGGGACAGAAUGACAUGAAGUACUUCUAGACACCAGUAUGAGAUAUUAAGUACUUCCAGACACCAGUAUAAGACAUUAAGUACUUAGACACCAGUAGAGAAAGUAUGACAGGAAGUACUUCCAGACACCAGUAUGAGACAGGAAGUACUUAGACACCAGUAGCUUUGUGCUCUGCUGUGUAUGAGAGGGUUCUUAUCUUAACCUCUUUUCUUCCAUCCUAUCUGGUGGGAAAAGGCUGUGCCAUAUGUACAGAACACAAGGGCUUUUCCUAAUGUGUCAUUUUUCUGGGAUUGAUUGCACUGUCAGGCUGGAUCCUAUAUGUUAUCUUUGUCUUUUCAUGAUUGUUUUUUAAAAAGACCGUUUAGUUGAAUGUGAAGUGUAAUUCCUGGUUGUGACUUUAGUUGGAAGUCGAUGUGCUGAUAAGGGAGAGGUGGGUGGGGAGGUACUGAAGAUGAGAUGUGGAGCAGCUUUAAUUCAUGUCAGUCAUUUUAAAGGUAUCAGGAACUGAAUGGUAUUGCCUUAACCUGUAGUAUAUUAGUAUGUGCAUUUAUUUACAUCUCUUGUGAUAGUUUUCAGAUCAAGGGCUGGGGAGUUACCGCAUCCAUCCUAUUGCAAGUUUGGUUCUAAAAAAAUGCAUUUAGUCUCUUGACUGACGACCGUACUCAUACAGUAUGAUUUAAAGAAUGGGCGGGUUACUACUUCUGAUUGGUACUUUAUCACUCACUGUAUAUAGCCUUGAAUGAGCAGAAGGACUGGGCUUGAAGAUUGAGGGCUGACAGCCUGCCUACGCUUUAGCUGAAAUCAAAUGGACUGUAUUAUUGGUAGCUUUUGAGUGUGUAAAGAAGAGCGUUGCCGAAUGGAGGCUCUUAGCACAGUGUUUUACAGCCCAUAGUUCUCUGUAGACUAGAUCAGUCAAGUCUGGUGGCGCUGCACUCACCUGACUCUCUCUGUUGAUCAUUAACCUUUUUAAAAGAUGAUUCAAUCAUGUAUUUAUACCUUCUCCUUCAGAAGAAUGAUAUAAGAAUGAUUUUGUUUAUGAAGAAAUGAAAUGAUUUUUCAAGGUUUGUUGAAAUAAAACAAUAUAACUCCUAAUGCUUUACUGCAACUACGACCAGUUUCUUAUUAGACAGCAAUUCAACACAUUCACAGCAAUUCAU